UUACAUGGAUAUGAAACGACCGUAGUUUACGGUUAGUAUGCGGACUUUUUCUGGGACACUCAUUGCCACGCUGUCAAUGAGUUAGACAGAGUUGAAAAAAGAGCUAUAGCUGUAUGAAAAGAGCUGCAAAUUCAACUAAAACACGACUGAAUCUGCUGCAACUAACUAUCUGAAGUGUAUGGGACGCUCUCUCUUCAAGAGUACAGUUAGUCUGGUGAUUCCACUGGUCAUCUUCUUCUUCCAAUUGGACAAGGGUCGCGCUCAGUAUGACCGACUGUUUCGUUGUGUGGUGGUGGACACUUACUCCCUCAACAAGCCCCUCUACACGACUGUGGUCACCAUGAACAAUAGUAGAUAGGUAGAUUAUCUGAACAUUCAGUUUUUGUAUUAAUAAGUUUUGCAUGAUUCAUAAAAAAUAAAGGCACUGCA